GAUGGAUUCUCUGAAGAAAACAAACUUCAAAUGGACGUUAACAGUGGUGAAUCCGAAACUAGGAAAUUCUUAGGUUAUUUAUCUUUAGAAGUGUUAUACUCAACCUUAAUGGAUAUGGUUAGCGUUAGUAGUACUGCAGGCCAUUGAUUUGUCUCUACGUAUCUGUAUUUUUUUUUCUUCGUUUCUUCGAAGAAUAUUUAUCUUGUACAAAUUAUGUAGCUGAGAAUAUCAUACAUCCAAUAGCUCAUAAGCUAAAUCAUUGUGGAUUCAAU
rnacentral:misc_RNA from 1 species